UACAGAGGCCUCGAGCGUUAGGCGGAAUCACUGGGCUUAAAGCGUGUGUAGGCGGACCUCUAAGUACCUUGUGAAAUCCCACGGCUCACCCGUGGAACUGCUUGGUAUACUGGUUGUCUUGAGCCUUCUAGGGGCGAGUGGAACAAAUGGUGGAGCGGUGAAAUGCGUAGAUAUCAUUUGGAACGCCAAUGGUGAAAACAACUCGCUGGGGAAGUGCUGACGCUGAGACACGAAAGCCAGGGGAGCGAACGGG
rnacentral:rRNA from 1 species